rfam:Salmo salar isolate Sally breed double haploid chromosome ssa22, whole genome shotgun sequence.
UGGCUCAGUUGGUAGAGCAUGGUGUUUGCAACGCCAGCAUGGUGGGUUCGAUUCCCAC